AAUUACAUUUUAUCAAUCAGAAAAGUAAGAUCCUUUGACCAGGUAAAAUGCAGAAUUGAUACCUUUCCUGUACCCAGGAAUCCAAUGCUUGGUGUAUUUGACAGUUCAUCAACCAGUGCUCUUAUGAUUGAUACUAGUAGCACCCAAGCAAUUAACAUGUAGUCAAGGCUUUUUACAUCCUACAAGGUUUUAAAAAUGAACUACAGAUUGCCUCCAAAAUCAACAGAAAGCCUCAAAACAAAAGCACCACAAAAUAAAUUGGCAACAUGGAACAGCUAAAACACCUCACACUUGAAAAGUUUACAAA
rnacentral:misc_RNA from 1 species